rnacentral:lncRNA from 1 species
GUACGUCCACCUGUGUAGGCUCGGACCUGAGGCGAGGUGUUUAGCUCCAGUGUGAGAGUUGGCCCAGAGUUAGUCAUAGCUUGGCUUCAGGUGAGUAGACCUAACUAUGCAUGUUUUCAAGUUAAUGAUUACAGAGCAUGACAGUAUGAGCAUGAGACACGCAUCAUGGAUGCCAUGUGAUACUAGGUUGUAUUGCAUUAGAGAUCACGAAUAUGUUGCAUUGCAUUAUGAUUGUUGAUGGGAUGGACCAAGGCGAUCUCAGUAGCCCGCUACCUGUUAUGUCUAGAUAAGACCUUUGGGAGCUCCGUAGUUAGGGGCCGGGCUCUAGUACAUGUAGUGUCCUGGGAGUACAGAGGGAGUUCUGGGAUCAUGUCUAAUCCGAGAUGUGAGAUGUUUGUGUUGUGACACAUUCCAUGAAAGCAUAUAAUGAAUGAACUGGUCUAUGGUUUCUACUCACUGGGCUCUUGUAGCUCACCCCAUUCCCAUAAUCCCAGUUUUGCAGGGCCAGAGUUCAGCAGAGUGAGCUAUGAGAAAAGCAGAGUCAGCAGAGUGAGCGUGAGCUAUGAGAAAAGCAGAGUGAGCAUGAGUUGCCGUGUUUGGCUGUACUAGCAUAGCUAGGUUUUGAUACAGUGGCUUGUAAAGAAGCUUGAUGUAUAGAGAUGAAAGAGGCUUGAUGUAUAUGUUUAUGAUGUAAAGAUUAAGGAUGAUAUGCUAUGUUAUGUAUGUUUGUAUGUUUGUAUAGUAUAGUUGUGGACAUGUUGUAUGGACAUGAUGUGUAUACAGGUUAUGCAUGGAAAGAGCUUGUGGUAAAGAGUAUAAUGAGAUAAUGUCUAGAAUUGUGCUUUGCCCAGUGUGUGCUGAAUCCCUAG